UACGUAGGGUGCAAGCGUUGUCCGGAAUUAUUUGGCGUAAAGAGCUCGUAGGCGGUUUGUCGCGUCUGCUGUGAAAACUCGGGGCUUAACCCUGGGCCUGCAGUGGGUACGGGCAGACUAGAGUGCGGUAGGGGAGACUGGAAUUCCUGGUGUAGCGGUGAAAUGCGCAGAUAUCAGGAGGAACACCGGUGGCGAAGGCGGGUCUCUGGGCCGAUACUGACGCUGAGGAGCGAAAGCGUGGGGAGCGAACAGG
rnacentral:rRNA from 1 species